rnacentral:rRNA from 1 species
UAUCUCUGUAGAGUCUGCAUAUCAAUAAGCGGAGGAAAAGAAACUAACAAGGAUUCCCUUAGUAACGGCGAGUGAAGCGGGAGGAGCUCAAAUUUGAAAUCUUCAAGGGUUCUGACCUUGACGAAUUGUAGUUUAAAGAAGUGUUUUCGGUUAGAGGAGUAGCUAAAAGUUCCUUGGAAUAGGGACAUCAUAGAGGGUGAGAAUCCCGUAUUUGGAUUAUUCAUUCUAGCUUUGUGAUACACUUUCAAAGAGUCGGAUUGUUUGGGAAUGCAGUCCAAAAUGGGUGGUAAAUUUCAUCUAAAGCUAAAUAUUGGCGAGAGACCGAUAGCGAACAAGUACCGUGAGGGAAAGAUGAAAAGAACUUUGAAAAGAGAGUUAAACAGUACGUGAAAUUGUCAAAAGGGAAGCGUUUGACACCAGUGUUGUUUUUUCCGAAAAUCAAUUACGAAUGGCUUGAUUUUGUGUUGUAUUGACCUUAUCAGCUUUCUUCACUUUUUUCGAGUCUUUCUUAAUGCACUUUUCGGUUAACAAGUCAACAUCAAUUUCUUUUGUUGUAAAAGAGUAUUCGGAAGGUGGCCUUCUUUUCGGAGAAAGUGUUUAUAGCCCUAUACUUCUACAAUCGGAGAGAUUGAGGUCUGCAGCGUAGAUCCUUCGGGGUUAGAUACAUUUGUGCUAAGUUGUAGCUUUUCAUAGACAACUUGUUGACUAUGUUUAGUCAUGCGGCUUACUCGCUUAUGCUAUUUUACCUACGCUUAGGAUGUUGAAGACUCUACAGAGAUA